UACGGGGGAGCAAGCGUUGUUCGGAUUUACUGGGCGUAAAGGGCGCGUAGGCGGCGCAACAAGUCACUUGUGAAAUCUCCGGGCUUAACUCGGAAAGGUCAACUGAUACUGCGGGGCUAGAGUGCGGAAGGGGCAACUGGAAUUCUUGGUGUAGCGGUGAAAUGCGUAGAUAUCAAGAGGAACACCUGCGGCGAAGGCGGGUUGCUGGGCCGACACUGACGCUGAGGCGCGAAAGCCAGGGGGAGCGAACGGGG
rnacentral:rRNA from 1 species